ACAUGUCCUGCUACGCAUACAAAUUUGGCCUCUGCAGCGCGUGUAUCAGCGUCUAGUUUCCUCAAGGAAAACAGUUUCUUCUUGCGGGUUUUGUCUGAGCCUGUUUGCCGAGACCAAUACAGAAAACAAAACAGUGGAGAGAGACAGUGGGGGAGGAAUUUAUCUCUAUUUUGACUUGAUUCUAAAUGGACCCAACAGCUGAAGAGCAAAUAGAUUACGGUGAUGAAGAAUAUGGAGUUAGUCAGAAGGUGCAGUAUCAGGGGGGUGGAGCAAUAUCAGCACUUGCAGAUGAAGAAAUGAUGGGGGAAGAUGAUGAGUAUGAUGACCUAUACAAUGAUGUUAAUGUUGGAGAGGGCUUCCUCCAGAUGCACCGAUCUGAGGCUCCACCUCCUGCUAAUUUCGGUAAUGGAGGACUCCAAGCUCAGAAAAUUGAUGUUCCUGAUCCAAAGGUUCAAGCUGGGAGCACACAUGGGUUAAGUAAUUCUGAGGUUGCAGUUGAAAGGCAGUAUUCUAACACUGGGACGGGUUUUCCUGAGCAGGGAGUCCAACUGCCCAUUAAAGGACAGGGAUUGGGAUCUACUGGCUACCCAGAUGGGUCUUCUAUUUUACAAAAAGGGCAGGUCUUGGAGAUCGCUCGUGAUGCUCAAGUCCGAAAUGUUGGGUUUCAGGGUUCGACUUCUGUGCCACCAAACAUCGGGGUUGAUAUUGCCGGUAUGCCUGGGAGAAUGUCCAAUAACCUCGCACCUGCUCUGAAUCCUCUGUCUGGAGCUCCACAAGGUGUUCCACAGAUUCCGACUAAUCAAACUGGCAUGAAUGCAAAUGUGAAUCGUCUUAAUGAAAUUGAGAUCAGACCAUCUGUAGAUAAUGGAUUGACCAUGCUCUAUGUUGGUGAAUUGCAUUGGUGGACAACUGAUGCAGAGCUAGAGAGUGUUUUAUCUCAGUAUGGAAGAGUCAAGGAGAUUAAGUUCUUUGAUGAGAGAGCUAGUGGUAAAUCCAAGGGAUACUGUCAAGUUGAGUUCUAUGACCCUAAUGCUGCAGCUGCUUGCAAAGAAGGAAUGAAUGGCCAUCUUUUGAAUGGGCGAGCUUGUGUUGUUGCCUUUGCUUCUCCACAAACACUGAAGCAGAUGGGAGCCUCUUAUAGCAAAAACCAACCCGAGUCUCAGUCUCAGCCUCAGGGAAGGAGGCCCACGAAUGAUGGUAUGGGGAGAGGUAAUAAUAUGAAUUAUCAAGGUGGAGAUGGAGGGAGGAACUAUGGAAGGGGCUCUUGGGGACGGGGUGGGCAAGGAAUGCUAAAUAGAGGUCCAGGGGGUGGUGGUCAUAUGCGGGGAAGAGGAGGUAUGGGUGCAAAGAACAUGGGUGGGGCUGGAAUAGGAGGUCCAGCUGGUGGUGGAGGCUAUGGACAAGGCCUUGCAGGUCCUGCAUUUGGAGUUCCUGGUGGUGGUAUGAUGCAUCCUCAAGGUAUGAUGGGAGCUGGAUUUGAUCCGACUUAUAUGGGUCGUGGUGGUUAUGGAGGGUUUCCAGGCCCUGGUUUUCCUGGCAUGCUUCCUUCAUUUCCUGCUGUUAAUGCAAUGGGACUGGCAGGGGUGGCUCCUCAUGUAAACCCAGCCUUCUUUGCCCGGGGAAUGGCACCUAAUGGGAUGGGAAUGAUGGGUUCCUCAAAUAUGGAUGGGCAUCAUGCAGGAAUGUGGGCUGAUUCUAGCAUGGGAGCAUGGGGAGGAGAAGAGCAAGAUCGGAGAACAAGGGAGUCAAGUUACGGUGGUGAUGAUGGUGCUUCUGAAUAUGGCUAUGGAGAGGUGAAUCAUGAAAAGGGAGGUAGGCCAACUGCUGCUUCUCGGGAAAAGGAUAGAGGUUCUGAUCGUGACUGGUCAGGGAACACUGAUAGGAGGCAGCGAGAUGAGAGGGAACAAGACUGGGAUAGGCCUGAAAGGGAGCAUCGGUAUCGGGAAGAAAAAGAAAAAGAUAAUUCCCGUGACCAUCGGCAAAGAGAACGCGACUCUGGUUACAAGGAUGACUGGGACAGAGGGCAAUCUUCUUCUAGACCACGGAGCAGGUCGCGUGCAAUGCCGGAAGAAAAUCAUAGGUCUCGAUCAAGGGAUGUGGAUUAUGGGAAGAGGAGACGCAUGCCGUCAGAGUGAAACAGCCUUGCUGUUCAUCUUUUCUUUCCUUUUUAUAUAAUGUUGAAAUUUAUACUCGUACUCUUAGUAUGACUCCCUUGGGUUGCUACGCAGCAUUCACCCGUUCUCUCUGGCUAAAUGACCUGCAUCAAGAGUGUGACUUCUUCAAGGAAGAAGAGUGGGGGCUGUCUUUGUUUUCAUGAUUGACUCAGCCUAUUUGCUUCGAGGAAGCUGUGUUAGAUGGGUGCCUUGGAUUCCUUUGAUCAUGGCAUUGCUAAAUCAAGUUUGCAAAAGCAGCAUUGACUGAUUGCCUUCCUUUUAUUCAGGCACCACUUAAGAGUCUGUAAAAUAUGAGUCAACAAGAAUAUGUCUAGGGAGGAUGGAGUUAUGCAGUUGUAAAACAUGGAAAGGGUGACUAGUUUUUGGUAUAAUCACCCUAUUUUUGCUCUUGUAAGUCACGAGGUUGUGUUUUGUAAAGUUUUGAGUGCAAAAGUGUUAGGUUUACAUCAUAUAUUGGCCUUUUUUGUUGUUUAUUGGAUAAGUCAUGGCUCAUCAAUGAGCUUGUAAAAAGUGAUGUACUGAUUCUGAGGCCAAUACUUGUUCAUAUUUGUUUUGUUGUAACAUUUGAGCUCUCUUUGUUAGAACUUAGAGGAGUUGGUGAGGAGAUAGAGCUAGUGGCAUAAUGUAGUGAGGAAUCACUGUUCCCCCUGUAAUUAGUCAUUGUAACCUGUAUAGAUGUAGUAACAGCUUAAGAGGACUGUAUAGGAAUUGUUUCAGAAGUAUUGUUUCGUCUUUUUUGUGUACAUUUUGAGGUUGGUGCAGUUUAAAUAUUAUGAGCUGGGGAUUUCUGAUGUA